AGUGAACGCUGGCGGUAGGCCUAACACAUGCAAGUCGAACGGCAGCACAGUAAGAGCUUGCUCUUACGGGUGGCGAGUGGCGGACGGGUGAGGAAUACAUCGGAAUCUACUUUUUCGUGGGGGAUAACGUAGGGAAACUUACGCUAAUACCGCAUACGACCUACGGGUGAAAGCAGGGGAUCUUCGGACCUUGCGCGAUUGAAUGAGCCGAUGUCGGAUUAGCUAGUUGGCGGGGUAAAGGCCCACCAAGGCGACGAUCCGUAGCUGGUCUGAGAGGAUGAUCAGCCACACUGGAACUGAGACACGGUCCAGACUACUACGGGAGGCAGCAGUGGGGAAUAUUGGACAAUGGGCGCAAGCAUGAUCCAGCCAUACCGCGUGGGUGAAGAAGGCAUUCGGGUUGUAAAGCCCUUUUGUUGGGAAAGAAAAGCAGCAGGUUAAUACCCCGCUGUUCUGACGGUACCCAAAGAAUAAGCACCGGCUAACUUCGUG
rnacentral:rRNA from 1 species